rnacentral:rRNA from 1 species
AUUGAACGCUGGCGGCACGCCUUACACAUGCAAGUCGAACGGCAGCAUGAUCUAGCUUGCUAGAUUGAUGGCGAGUGGCGAACGGGUGAGUAAUACAUCGGAACGUGCCCUGUAGUGGGGGAUAACUAGUCGAAAGAUUAGCUAAUACCGCAUACGACCUGAGGGUGAAAGUGGGGGACCGCAAGGCCUCAUGCUAUAGGAGCGGCCGAUGUCUGAUUAGCUAGUCGGUGAGGUAAAGGCUCACCAAGGCGACGAUCAGUAGCUGGUCUGAGAGGACGAUCAGCCACACUGGGACUGAGACACGGCCCAGACUCCUACGGGAGGCAGCAGUGGGGAAUUUUGGACAAUGGGGGCAACCCUGAUCCAGCAAUGCCGCGUGUGUGAAGAAGGCCUUCGGGUUGUAAAGCACUUUUGUCCGGAAAGAAAUCGCACUUACUAAUAUUAGGUGUGGAUGACGGUACCGGAAGAAUAAGGACCGGCUAACUACGUGCCAGCCGCCGCGGUAAGAC